GUUUCCGUAGCUCAGCAGGAUAGAGCGUCCGCCUCCUAAGCGGAAGGCCAGCGGUUCAAAUCCGCUCGGGAACA
rnacentral:tRNA from 4 species